AUUGAACGCUGGCGGCAGGCCUAACACAUGCAAGUCGAACGAGUGGCGGACGGGUGAGUAAUGUCUGGGAAACUGCCCGAUGGAGGGGGAUAACUACUGGAAACGGUAGCUAAUACCGCAUACCAUCGGAUGUGCCCAGAUGGGAUUAGCUGGUAGGUGAGGUAACGGCUCACCUAGGCGACGAUCCCUAGCUGGUCUGUGAGGAUGAACAGCCACACGGGAACUGAGACACGGUCCAGACUCCUACGGGAGGCAGCAGUGGGGAAUAUGGCACAAUGGGCGCAAGCCUUAUGCAUCCAUGCCGCGUGGAGUAAGAAGGCAGUCGGGUUGUAAAUUACUGUUAGCGGGGAGGCUUUAACCGCAGAAGAAUCACCUACUAACUCCGUGCCAGCAGCCGCGGUAAUAC
rnacentral:rRNA from 1 species